rnacentral:lncRNA from 10 species
GGGAACCAAAGGGCGGAAAAGGUUCCUAGCACCUCUCAAUAGUAAACCUAAUGAUCCACUGACAAAACUUUUGUUUCCCAUACUUGAAACUUGGAAGUUGAAGACAGUAACCCCUGGCAGUAAUGACUUCAUCAGUAUCAAAGGCCUUGGCAGUAGAUGGCCAGCUAAUGGAGGAGAAUGAGUGAGGCAGCUUGAUAAUUGUAUGAGUUACAUUCCUGAGAAUCCUUUUUUUUUUUUUUUCAUUCCUGAGAAUUCUAAGAAAUAACAGGGCGGGGGCUCAGUAUAGAGGGAACUGGAGAUUCUUCAAGGCUGGAUGGAAGUAAAUCCAAAGAAAUGAUGUGUGUGACUUAUUCUAACCACACUGUGAUUACUUAGACAUAACAGCAGUUUUGUCCACGAAAUCUGUGAAUUUUACAGUCAUGCAACUAGAAGAAUCAUGACUUAUGUUUUUUGUUUGUUUGUUUGUUUGUUUUUUCAGAAGGAGUUUCGCUCUUGUUGCCCAGGCUGGAGUGCAGUGGCUCGAUCUCGGCUCACCACAACCUCUGCCUCCCAGGUUCAAGCGAUUCUCCUGCGUCAGCCUCCCAAGUAGCUGGGAUUACAGGCAUGAGCCACCACGCCCAGCUAAUUUUGUAUUUUUAGUAGAGACAGGGUGUCUCCACGUUGGUCAGGCUGGUCUCCAACUCCCGACCUUAGGUGAUCCGCCCACCUCGGCCUCCCAAAGUGCUGGGAUUACAGGCGUGAGCCACCGUGCCCGGCCGACUUAUGUUUUAUAAUUCAUAUAUUAAUAGCUGUUUUCAUUUACUUUUGAUACUUUUAGUUGUUUUAGCUGUUAACAUUUGUUUGCAUCCUUGGGAACUUAGGUAUGUACUCCCCUAUCCAUGUUAUACCCACGGUUAUCUGGAAGAACAUGGCUCUUAAGUUACUCCAGGCUGGUGUGGUCUGGGGAAGCAAGAGUUACCAUACAAUUUGGUACUUUGUUACAUGUACUCUUCUGGUGUUCACUCUAACAGGAUUCUAAGUUCCUUAAGGACAAGGACUAUCUUUCAUAACAAUGCUACUCCAAGUGUGAUCUGUGAACUGUUUUCCACUUCCUGCCUAAGUAAAAGGAUUUUCUGACACUGCCCUGAAGCAGGUCGUUAGACUCUCAUUUGAGCGGUAUCCUCUCUAUACCUGGGAGAAAGGAACAUCAUUUUCUCUGAAGACACAGCGUCACAAAGAAGAAUCUGAAUAAACAGGCCUUGUUAAAUUCCCCUGCCAGUUGAUUACCAUUAGAUUAUACUUUUGUAUGUAAUCAUCCUUCACCACUAUCCACUUCUUCAUGAAAUCUAGCAUUAAGAAUGCACAGGUUUACCUGUUUCUCUGAGUCUUCAUUUCCUUAGGAAGGCUCCUGUAUCAUGUAAAACUUCUUAAAUAAAUGUGUCUG